ACGGACUGGCGUCCCGUCCUGGGUGUGUCCCCUUCCCCUCCGGACCUGUCCAUCCAGGUGCAGGCCCAGGUUUUCCGGGCACACGGAUGUGUGCUGGCUGCUUCGUCACCCUCCUUUCACGACCAGGUGCUGCUGAAGAACAUGUCUACUGUAUCCAUCCCAGCCGUCAUGGACCCCCUGGCCUUUGAGAGUGUUCUAAGCUGUGCCUACACCGGUCAGCUGCGCAUGCUACGGGAGGACGUCGUCAACUACCUCACCGGGGGGAGUGUGCUGCAGAUGUGACACAUCGUGGACAAGUGCACCGAGCUCCUUAAGGAAGGACGGGGAGGGACUACUGGAACACAGGGUGGAGGUGCUCAGGGCAAUCCCGGGUGGAGCAGCGGUGGGCGAGAGCCGGGGGCAGGAGCCCAAUCCGGUGAAGCCCGCUCUGAAGUCCUGCCCCCCAGUCGCCUCGCUCUGAAUGAGAGCCAGUCCCCCAGCAGCACCAACUAUUUCAGCCCCAGAGAGGACUAUGACCGAGGUGAAUUCCCGAGGAAGGUAGAAAGGAUGAAAUUUGAUGAUCAGACGUUCCAGGUUGUCUGUGCAGGAGCGAGGUCGCACCAGCUGCUGUUCACCAUUAAACACACUCCACCUCCCCUUGACUUCCCCGACUCCGGCGUUCUGUCCAUGCAGUAAACCGAGAGCUCGUCUGGUACCGCUGGGGUCGGCCAUGUCCCCGUGAAGCAGAGGACGUUGCAGUCCCGAAUGUCUCUCUGGAACUUGACCCGGGCUCUGAGGUCGUCAAGCUUGUUGUCCAGAGGCUGGACGUUAGCUAGCGGGAUACUAGGCAGGGGAGCGCGGUGUGCGCGAGCCCUCAUCCUGUUCCUGACGCCGGCUCGUUUUUCCUCGGGGUCUCCGCCGCAGGUCGCGUCCUUUGUUCGUUCUCAGGAUCUCAGCUGGCCAGCUGGGAUCCGGUGUUACAAAAGUCGUAUGGUGAGGGGCUUGGGUACCAAUAGAAAUAAGAGUAUUUCUAUCGUAGCUGAUAGUGCCCAUGAUAAUGUGAAAAGGUGGUUAAAGUAAGAUAAAGUGCUAAAAUAAGUAAAAACAAGGGACGUAUAGUGGGAGCAGUCGUGGUUCAGUUAUUAGUGUGGCCUUGCAGCCUCAACGCUGGGUGUAUUACGUAUGCUUGCAAGCAAUUAUUACACACAAUCCCUUAUUCCUAACCCCCGGAGAGCAGGCCCUGGUCCAACCCACUAUGCUACCAUCCUCCACCUCAUAUUUUUUCUAUGAUUUCUUUUUUGACCUCUAUAGUGGCCCUCACAAUACUCCUUUUUAGCUGCGUAGUAGUGUCCUUCUUACCCAUGCUGGCUUCUGGCCAAGUGGCAAAUAAGAGACCUGGACAAAAAAUAAAACGCUAACGCACUAACAAACCCAAUUUCUUAAGAGGACACUAAAUAUUGUUUUUGUUAAUUCCUCUAUAAAGUUUUAACAUGACAUACCUGACGGACAUUGAUCCAUUGAGUCGCAGCUGUUUGAAUUUCAAACUGAACUUUCCCACGGCUUCCCUCCUUCCGCUCUGAUGGCAGCAAGGGGCCAGUUUAAUCACGUGGCAAAACAACGUGCAAGGACGCUCCCACACUUAGCUUCUGUAUUUAGCAAAUCAUAUUCAAAUCUUUAAUAAUACAAUAGUAACCAACGGGAAGAUGCACAUAGUAAAAUACAUCAGCAAUAACUGACAAGUCUUU